rnacentral:ncRNA from 2 species
AGUCGAUCCAGGUCGCUGGGUGCUUCGCGCGGCAACGCGGCGAAGAGAAUAGGGAAGCCGGUGAGAAUCCGGCGCGGUCCCGCCACUGUGAACAGGAAAGCGGGCUCUGUCGAGCCAGCCGCGACGCCACUGCCGUCUUGGUGGGAAGGCGCGCGGACGAAGACCUGUGAGCCAGGAGACCUGCCCAGCGACACGCGGGCGC